AGAUAUUUCUGGCCGGCUUUAAUUGCUUAUAGCAAGAGAUGUAGAAUAUUUUUGGGUGCCAGUUGAUCAAAUCAUGAGUGACUCAAGUUGAUAUUUGAGUCCAUUUAACUGUGCAACAGCCAAUCACAGCUUGCAACUAUAUGUUUUAUUUGUUUGUUUUGUUUAAUUUGAUGAAGAUAUCUCUUCAUACCAAUGGAAGGACCUAACUCUGAUUCUCCGGUGAAGGAACACACUACUAAAAAAUCACUAUUUUUCCGCUGAAAAAUGUUUAGCAACUAUUCCCACUGAAUGUCGGUGGAAAAAAUCUAAAUGGUAGUGUUUUCAAAAUCAGGACGUUUCUCCGAGUUUCAAUGAGAACCUGUUUCCCACCAUGUGUUUUCUCAGUGAGCUGAUUCGGUGGAAAUGAGAUGGGAAAAUCAUAUUUUAUAACACAAAUUUCCAGCUGAAUGCCGAUGGGCAAAACCUAUGUUUCUGGUGGUGACAAAUGAUGACUACAAACUAUAAUGUUUGGUGUGUCAAGUUCCAGUAGAACAACAAUGAUCACCUUCAGAUGAAGUUAAUUGGUGUGUCAAGUUCACGUAGAACAACAAUGAUCACCUUCAGAUGAAGUUAACUUUCAUUCUUCCUAAUUGCAUUGGAGAUAUUAAGUAUGGCCUAACUUCUUCAUUGAUUCACUACAAAAAAUUUUGAAAAUCAAAGAUGUUCUAUUGCAAUUUGGUUGAUUUGAGGAGAAAGUUUCUUUAAAUUUGCCUACUUCUGAACAGGAAGAGUUUCCUUUUGGAAAAAAAUCUAUAUCAGUAGAGCAUAUGAUGUCGAUAGACCAAGGUAAAGCACUCAAUGAGCUAGGGUGGCCCCAUUUCGCCUUACCAACCUCAGGGAAACUCCUAAUACAGGCCUAUAAUGUUUGUGCGGACUUUUUGGGUGCCUUGAUAAAAUCUGCAUUAUAGCCUCAUUUUUUAGUAGUGAAGAGCACUAUAUAUUAUCAUGAAGGAGAUAAGGAAAAGGACAUGUAAAUGAUGUCUGUAACAAUAUCGAAUCACUGAUCUUUGGCAUUGAGGAAGAAGGAACAGAGAAAACGUGUCCUAUCUGAUAUGGGAUUAGGGGAUGAGGAAAAAUUCCCACGGCUGCCUGUCUCUCUAUGACCAAAAGUGUGCCCUUGUUGCAAGGAUAAAGGACCAUUUAUGUCCAGCGUUAUAAAAUAGAGGACCUAAAUGAGCCUACCAUUAAAAUUAAGGGACUAUUCAGUGAUUUUGCAGCUGUAUUGCUAAUGAUCAGACAUUGAAAGGUUAGUUGCCCUUAAUUACUUUUGUCAUUUGAUUAAACUUAUAGCAAAACAACACUUGUAGUGGCUUAUCAAAGUAUAAUUUGGCACCAUGCACUAAUGAAUUAUCUGUAGGUGAUUUAUCAGCUGAGAGCCUCAAACAUGAAAAAGAGACUUUAAAAGGUAAUUUACUGUGCAUAUUAUAAUGUUGCUCAUGUAUAGUUGAUUGAUUGAUUCAGUCGAACAAAGCGAACUUCGUAUCCAAUAAUUGUAGAAUCACGGCAUCCAUUUGCAUUCGAGCAGUACAGAAGUAUCGAAAAUUUUGUGGGUGAAGGAAAAUUAUAUCAAAUGAAAUGACAUGGGAUAGAUAGUUUUGUAACACCUCAUACCUUUAAACUAGGCUAUGAUUCAUGAUUUGGGACUUAGAAUAUCAGACGGGAAGUGUUGGAAUUUAAGUUGCUGCCGUUCAGCAAAAUCCCAUUUUCACGACCAUCUAUACGGACCGUAUAUUAUUAUACGAUCCGUACUUUCAGGCCGUGUUUAGUAGGUGGAAAAAUCCCAGUUUCUACCAAGUUUUUGAAAUGCUUCGAUACGGACCGUAUAAUGUUAUACAGACCAUAUUUUCAGUCCGUGAAACUCGUUUGGGAAGUCCCAGAUUCUGGAAUUUUAUUUAUUGUUAAAUACGGUCAGUUUAUACGGACCGUAUAACUUUAUACGGACUGUAUAAGUUGACCAUAUAAUUUCCUGACUCAGUUAAGUAUAAAUAUGUCAUGUUCAGUUCUUUUCCCACUUUUCACAGUCUCCAAGCCCUAGAAUAAAGGUUUUCUUCUCCCAUCCAAAACAUCAAGCUAAGCCUAUUCCAAUCAUUUCAAGUCAAUUCUAACAUGUAGUCAUGUGAUAUAAUGAGAGUUCAUCAUUCCUAACCUAGGAUUUUCAAGAAAACCCAUUUAAAGGGUUCAAGACUAAAGCUUUAGGGAUUCUCCUUCAAGUUCAGAUUAUUGAUACAAGUUUUGGAGCAUUACCAGUUAUGUAGGGUUCUAUCUACGUGUGGGAACGUCUUUGUUCUCCCCCACACCACGUUCUUCCAUGAUUAUGCAAGAGUUCACUAAACUAGGGUUUUUAGCCAAAUUCAUGAUAACCCCAAGUCCAUGCACCAUGAUUACCAUGUUUGAAAUGUAUAUAUCAGUUGUUGUAUUCCUAAUCUUCCAUUUGGCUAUUGGGAAUCUGUCCAUAAUCCAUGAAAACCCAUACAUUGCAUUCCAUGGGUUCCUACAUGCAAGUCAUUUAAUAUUAUGCUUACUUUCAUGAAUAUCCUACAUGUCUACACGUUUAUAUAAUCUUUAUCCAUGAUUAUGAAACAAGAUGUCCAUGUUAUACUACAAGUCAUAUUUUUACGAAAUUCAUGGGCUUCUCAGCCAACUAUAUCAUGUUCAUGUUUUUGGGAGUUGCGCAGAUUACCGAGAAAGUUUUAUACCUGAAACUAUGUAUGCCAACGUAGGAUAAGGAUCGCUCUGCCCAGUAGAACGAUUCCUUCAUAUAUUCCCCAUUGAGGGAUAUGGAUCCAUUCAUGUCAUGUUCAUGUCUUGUACCCCAGCAAGGUACAAGAUGGCUUAGCUGAUUGGGCAGAGAUCAGACGCCACGUGUUAACGUGGUGAUUACAUGUCAGUUAUACUAAUGCUCUCCCACAGAUACUUUUACUCAUGUUAUAUAUAUAUAUAUUAUAUAUAUAUAUGUAUUCAUGUUCAUACUCAUGACCAGAUUUAAGUUUCAGUUUCAGCUCUUAUCAUGUUAUUUCACGUACCAUGCUUAUUUCAUUCAGUUGUUUUACAUACCAGUACAUUCAAUGUGUUGACAUCCCUUUUCUACUGCCCGGGGGCUUGCAUUUCACGAUGAAGGUAGGAUUUAUAGGAUGCUGCAUCUGCUCAGUAGGAUUUGCUCGUAUCAGCUUGUUGGUGAGCCCCCAUCUUAUUCGGGGUGUUAUCCUUAUUUAUUUUCAUGUCAUGUUUAGCAAGUUAAAGUAUGUUGGGAGCCUUGUCCCAGCAAGUAUGUUUUACAGUUCAGAUUCAUGAUAGAGGUUUCAUAGACUAGUCAGUCAGUUAUGUCAUUACUUAGAGUUGUGUAGCCAUCUUGGCUUAGUUCAUGAUAUUUCCGCAUUCAUUUUUUUUAUACAAGUAUUUUAUUAAAUAUAUUAUGACUUCUCAUCUUUUGUUAAGGCUCAUCAUGUUUCAUGUUAUAUUCCGCUCAUGUAUAUGUCCCAUGUUAAUUCAGCAAGUCAUGUGGUUUGCUCGGUCACAUGCAGUCAGACACCAAGUGUCGUGUUACGCUCAGGUCAUGGUUCGGGGCGUGAAAAGUUUGAAGAGAUUUUCACACAUAGUUUUUUUAUAGUAACCGGUAGGUCUACCUCCUAGGCGCUGUUAAAUAGGAGUAUUCCCUAAUCUUAAUCAAAUUCAAAGAGUAAUAGAUUAAAAGAUUAUACUGCCGAAGUGUAAAAUCAUGUGUAGUAACAUAACUGACCUGAACAUGAAAUAAACUCAAUGAAUAAACAAGGGUACCAAUUUAAGUUUCAAAGCGAAGACUAAUAAAUUACUAGAUCAAAGCACAAAUGCUAUUAAGAACUGGUGAAUAGCGAGGACUAAUAUAUUACUUGUCUUAUUUAGUUUAUGCCUGCCUUUUUUGCAAAUCUGUGUAUCACGUUAUCUGUAAUACCAUUGACCUAUUGAGCUUUGAGAAAAGUAAUGUUUCUGGGGAAAUGACAGAUUUGGAAGUACAGGUAAAAUUAGUUGCAAAUGCUGUAGAAUACACAAUUCAACUGAGAUUAACAGAAACUGUAAUGGCAACAACUAAAAGCCAGACAAAAAAGGCACAUUGGAGGUUUCGUCGCAGCCUGCAACAAGUAGCAGAGGACAUUGAUCGUGUCUGGAAAGAUUCAAGAUAAAGGUAAACAAGCAUCAACGGGAUUUUUGGUUAAAGAUUCUUCAAGUUCAGCAAAGAUGUUCUGAAUGUUAAGAACGAUAUGGUUGGACGUGAUGCACAAAGGGAAAGGUUGUUAGAAGAUCUAACUAGAGGCUAGUCUGGCGAACCCAAAGUCAUCUCGAUUGUCGGGAUGGGAGCCAUAGCACAAUGUAAAGGAAAUCUUGCUAAGCCUUCUACGUUCUACUAUCAAAAUGGAUGAAAUAUGAGGCGGAGCUAGCAGACAUGUUGCAGAAAUGUUUAAAGGGCAAGAGGUACUUAAUUCUCAUGGAUGACAUAAGAAUUAGUAAAGUGUGGGAUGACGUGAGACAAUGCUUCCUAGUCAAAACAACGGCAGUUGAAUAUUGUUGAAUACCCAUAAUAAUGAAGUGGCUUGUUAUGUUGGUACAAAGAAUCUUUCUUUAAAUGUGAAAAGGUGUCAUCUAUUUUCAUGGGAUGCAUCCAUUCUUUGAAAAGGUGUUGUUGUUCAUUUUUAACUCAUUAUAAAUGUUAUUCCUUC